rnacentral:lncRNA from 1 species
CUGAGAUGAUUCUGCAGUAGGCUGAACAUCACUGGUAGAACCCAUUUUUCUCUGAUUCAUCAGUCUGGGUAUUUGGCCUUAGCAAGGCUUCCCGUCCUUUUGAUGUUGCAUUUAUAUGGGGUGUCAUGAGUAACUGGACCUCUGAUUCAUUCUAUAGACUUUGACAAGCUCUUUGAUCUUUAACCAAGACAUGAGCCUUCAUAUCACAAUGAAAUUCAGCACUGAGGUUCUGACAUCCUAGAAGUGAGUGAGCAGGUAGGUUGGUGGAUGGAUGGAUGGUGUAGGGAUGGAUGGAUGGAUGCAGGAAUGGAAGCGUGAUGGAUGGAAGGAUGGAGGAAUGGAAGGAUGGUCGAAUGGAAGUAGGCAUGGAUGGAUGGAAGGAUGAAUGGUUGGUUGAAUGAAGAAGGAAUGGAAGGAUGGAUGGAUGGAUGGAUAGUUAACUGUAUGGUGACUUCUCCUUAACAUGAAUUACCUUAUUAUCCUCUUGUAGUUUGUAUCUACUACAAGACAGACCUUAAAUUCCUUAAGACAGAGAUUUUGACCUUACCUGCUCCAGGGCCUGGCAUAGCACUGGGCUGAUGGCAGGUACAGCAGCAGGUGAGAAAAGAUAUGCCUUUGGAAAACAAAUGACUUUAGUUCAAUACCCUUAUUUCUAGGUCGAUCCAAUAUCCUUCUAAGAACAGAAUUUCUUGGUGGCAAGAAUGAAAAUCUUGAAACGGAGACGCCACUCCAGAGCAUUUUAAUUUCAUAUUGUACAAAGAAAUAGCUAGUAGCAAGUUCUAAUAACAAAAAUUCUCAUUGGUAGAUAGUAUUAUUGAUCUCAAGAGAAAGUGGAUAGAUAAGCAUUUAAAAAAAAAAAGAAAACUGGGUUAUUUUGAUAGUAUGUGUCCAGCUAUCAUAGAACUGCCUCUUUCCCCUGAUGAGAAAACUAAGGCUUGGCAAGGAAUUUAUUCAGUCUCUUGAACCCAGAACGCUUGUCUCCUGUCCAUUUUUCUCUUUGAAAUCAAAAGAAGGAUUUAAAAUUGCAUAACCCGGAGUUCCUGUCACGGUACAAUGGAAACGAAUCCGACUAGGAACCAUGAGGUUGUGAGUUUGAUCCCUGGACUUGCUCAGUGGGUUAAGGAUCUGGCUUUGCCAUGAGCUGUGGUGUAGGUCGCAGAUGCGGCUCGGAUCCUGCAUUGCUGUGGCUGUGGUGUAGGCCGGCCACUGUAGCUCCGAUUGGACCCUUAGCCUGGGAAUCUCCAUAUGCCGUGGCUGCAAAGAAGACAAAAAUAAAAAUGAAUAAAAUAAAGUAGAAUUGCAUAACCCUCUUACCCUUUGGCUCUGCCCCAGACAUGACCUGUUUUCUGAUCAAAUUAGCCAGCCCUUGGUUGUACCACCUGUGGUGUGGGGCUUGACCCCCACUUCAAGGGAAGAGAGAUACAUCACUGAUAAAAAAACACACAGUUCACGUUACUUUGGAAAGUACAAGGCACCAUAACUUCCCAAAUUGGCAAAAACUACCUGCUAUGGAUUGUAGUAAAGUGUGUUUUUAAAUUAUUUCAGACCCAUAAAACCUCUCCAUAGAGAGUGCUUUGAAACUGCAAAUUAAAUAUAGAACAUCUAUGAACUGUAUCCAUUUUUACAGUAAGUAUAUAUUUCCAUGGGGGUUUGUACCAUCUUUUUUGUCUAGUUACACUAGUUAAUAAUGCAGUGAAUUUGCAGUAAUAGAGUAAAUGUUAUUUUGAUGACACUAUUUGAUUAAAUUAAAGAUGACAUUAAAAGGACCAUUUCAAUAAAGAACCGAAAUCUCCAGAAGUAGCUGGGGCUGAGUGUUUAAGUCAGCGAGUCUGGCGGUCUUAAAAGGACCAAAUGGAAUUUCCUUCACCAUGUGAAUGAUGAGCAGGUUAAGGAACAAGAGGAGCAAAUAAUAUGGGAGAGAAUAUGAAGGCUCCAAUUCCAAGAUCCAGGCAAUUUUAGUUUAUUGGAGGCAGGCGUUGCCACUUGCAAGAAAACAGCUCAUGAGGCCUUGGGAAAAUGCAGAAAUGCAUUAAGUAAAAUGAAAGCGAGAGGGCACUGAGAUUUGCAGGGAAAUGUGCUGAUGUGGUGACAGCGAAUUGAGUUGUCGCAGAAACAAAAGAAAAGCGAAGCGGUGGGAUUAGUCAUGUGCCCCCCACCGCCUCUCCCUCCAUCCGCUCUGCAAAUGCACCAAGGUACGGGUGGGCCACCCACAGCCCUGCGUGCGGGGGGAAAUCUUUGAGAUUGCCAAAGGAGGAGAGAGGCCUAAUUAUUUCUCCCAGGCCUCUGUUCAUAGGAUGCUUGCCAAAGAAAAGUUCUUCUCCUGAGUGAGAGGUUCGCGUACAUAAAUCAAGCGACUGUUUGAAGAUGCCUUGACUUAAGUUCUUAGGGAGUGAAGCUAUGUGAAGAGAUGCUCCCCAGCAACGUGACUGAGCUGUGAAUCGCGGGCCUUUCCGCAGAAAGAAAAUUCCGAGAUGAAAGGCGUGCGGUGGCGGAGGCCCCUGUGUACCCCAGACACACACCUGCUCUGGUGUCUCGGCCCCAAAGACAGGUGACAUCUCCGCAUCCACUGUGGGCCCUGACUGUUGACAAGCUCAAGCCCACAGCCCUCCAAUUGGUGACUGUUUUCAAAGGUCAAGAGAGAAAAAUAAAGCCCCCAAAUGAACCUCAGCGGCAGCAAAGAGCAUUCUUCCCCGGGAUCUUAAGAGGCCAUCAUUAGAUGCUGAGCUUUCCUCGGGGGAUUCAUCUGGUCCUCAGACGUGUGGGUAUCUUCACGUCAUUAUCUUCCUACAGAAAGGCAGCGGGGUGCGGUUGGUUGGAAAAGUCACGUGCUCCACCUGGGUGAAUACUGCCUCUUUUGAGCGCAAAGCCCGGAGAAUGCAGGAUUCGUGGUAUGUGUGACUUUCUGAGUCUACACCUAGAGUGUUUAUUAUCUUGCCAGCAGCAAAUCGCUUCAAGACAAAGGAUGAGAGAGGACGUCCCAUCAAGCAAGUCUAUGAAACAGAGCACACAGAUGACAAAACACGAUGAUGCCACACUCUUGAAGGCCGAACAGAAGCCUCCAGCUGCCAGCACAUCUGUUCUUCUUGAAGACGAUGGGCAUGUGGCAAGGAUGGCCUGGUUACUCAGAAGAGACAGCAGACACUCUUUAGGAAACCUCCUCCUCCUCAGACCUGAGUGGCUCAACCCCACGGGUCUGACAUCUGCCCCUUGACGGUUUCGUCAAGUUGCUGCGGCCCCCUCUCCCGCCCAGUCCCUGCUGACUGCUCGAUUUCCCUCCAGGGAUUCGGGAUGAUGCCUGGAAGACCCCAAAGGUCUUGUGGUUGGCACACUUUCAAAACUCAAAAUGCUCGAAAAUAAUUUUUAACGUAGGCUCCCAAAGAGAAGCGUGAAAACCAAAGUAUUUUAGGGCAGGGAAACGACACUGUAGGUUCCCCUAAGGAUGGACCAGGUCAAGAUACACUUGUCCACAGAACGAGCAUCCCCAGGAAUGAACGCGCAUCCCCAGGAAUGUGAAGGAUGGACUCUGAGUGAUAACGGUGUGUCCGUGUAGGUCCAUCCCUCCGGCGGGGGAUGGGGACAGUGGGGGAGGUAAGCACGUGUGGAGGCAGGAGGUACAGGGGAACUCUGCAGGCUUCCCUCUCAGUUGUGCUGUGGACCUAAAACUGCUCUGAAAGGCAAAGUCUAUUUUUAAAAGUGGAAACAGGUUUGAUAAAAAGCACAUUGGAUACAACCACAGUGGACAAGAGGAUGGAGAUUCCUUAAACAACUAAAAACAGAGCUACCAUAGGAUCCUACAAUCCCAAUCCUGGGCAAAUAGCAAAAAAAAAAAAAAAAAAAAAUCCCACUUAAUUUGAAAGGAUACGUGUACCCCAGUGUUCCUUACAGCACUGUUCACAGUCACCAAGACAUGGAAGCAACCUAAGCAUCCAUCAUCCAUUGACAGAUGAAUGGAUAAACAAGAUGUGGUACAUAUAUAUAUGAAAGAAUAUUACUCCGUCGCAAAAAAGAAUGAAAUGACGCCAUUUACAGCAAUCUGAUGGACCUAGAGAUUAUCACGCUAAGCGAAGUACGCCAAGACAAAUGUCAUAUAAUAUCAUUACUACGUGAUAUCUAAAAAUGAUAAUAAUAAUAAGUUAUUUACAAAGCAGAAAUAGCCCCAAAGACACAGAAAACAAACUCACGGUUACCUGAGGAGACAGUAGGGGGAGGGAUAAAUUAAGAGUUUGGAAUUAACAGAUACACACUAGUAUAUAUCAAACAGAUAACCAACAAGUACCCACUACUAUACAGCACAGGCAAGUACAUUCAGUAUUUUGCAAUGAAUUAUGAGCAAAAAGAAUUUGAAAAAGUACAUAUAAAUGUAUAUAUGUAUGUGUAUGUGUGUAUAUAUAUAUAUUUAUAUAUAUAUAUCUCAAUCACUUUGCUGUAUACCUAAAACUAACACAUUAUAAAUCAACAAUAUUUCAAUUUUUUUUUUUUAAAAAGCAUGUUUGAAAAAGUGGGUGGCAAAAAUUUUCCCUUAUCACACCUUCACCGUGGUAUCCAUACUUAAAAAGAACUUUUUAACCGUUCUGACUGCAAGCCAUACUCACAUGCUCCAGUCAACACAGAAUCUCUUUGGACGCAAGCUCUCUGGGUCUCUAGAACUCCUCACUUGCCUCAAGUUUAACCCGAGUGUCAUCACACACGACCCACCCUCUCAGCGCUCCUCUGGCCCAAGCCCACUGGGGUUGUACAGUUGACCCUUGCACAACACAGGGGGUAUGGGUGCUGACCUUCCCAGCAAUGGAAAAUCCACGUGUAAUUUAUAGUUGGCCAUCUGUCUCUUUAGUUCCAAUCACACUCAGAUUGUGUAGCAUGUAGUAUUCACCGCUGGGGGAAAAAAAAAAAUCCCCAAAGCAGAUGUGCAGAGUUCAAAGCCAUGUUGCUCAGGGUCAAGUGUAUAAGAAGAAACAUUUGUGGAAAACAUCCAUUUUAGACCAUCGAGAACCUUUGGUGGCCCAUUUGUGCAUCUGCAUAGAACAUCAUUAGACAACCGGCUUUCCAGCUCCAUCAGAACCAGCCCCUAUCUCUGAUACCUACGUCUCUCCUUUCGAGCCUGAUGGUAAAAUGUCCCUUUUCGGUGGGGAAAAAUCCCUUAGAGACUUGGGCUGUCAUCUCACUACAGAGUUCCCUGGUCAAGAAAGAACAAACUGAUGAAAUAUCUGGGCUGCCUGGAGCACUUUCUGUCAUUUUUAUUAUCUCUCCCAUCGUCACCUUCAACUCCCAUAUUAUAGGUAUUUGUUCAUGUGCCUCUGCUCUUAUACCAGGAGGUCCAUGAGGCCAGGUCUGUACCUUAAUUGUUCUAAUUUAUGUGUAUUUCCAGGUCCUGGCAUGGACUUGGGAUAUGACCCAUGUCCAUAAGUAUAUAAGGGAAAUCAGACAUUUGGGUGACUGUAUUAUUUCUAGCAAGUUACUAGGGUGUCAUUACACAUUUUUAGUAAAAUGUAAAAAAUUCAUGAUUCAUCUAUCUACGCAUCAUUUAUCCAGCCAACUAGCCAUUCAUCUGUUCAUGUAUCCAUCCAUCCAUCCAUCCAUCCAUCCAUCCAUCCACCCAUCCAUCCACCCACCCAUCCAUCCAAUCAUCCAACCAUCCACGUAUCCAUCCAUCUAUUCAGCCAGCCAGCCAGCCAGCCAUCCAUUCAUUUAAAAAAUGUGCAAUAAUGCCUACUCUGCCAUGCCUUUUUAUGGGUGAUAAAAAAAGAUGACUAGAAAAUGAAUACAAUAUGGUCCUUGCCUUGACAUAUGUUGCAGCUGAAUAGGAGAAAUAAUGUAUGGAAAGUGAGGCCCCUGUUUUGGCCAUCUUUUCGUCCCCUGCAGCAUCUUCCACAGGGACUUUAAUUCAGCAGCAAUCAGCAAAUGAAUGUCGACUUAACAAAUAAAAACAAAUACAAUAUAAGGCAGUAAGUGAAUAGUGUCAGGUAAAUGCCGCAGAGAAAAUGCUACAGAGGAGUGCAAGGGAGGCUGAUCACGUCCAGCUGGACCCCUCACAGAAGCGGGAAUCUGAGCUACGAUAGAAGGGCUGGCUCAGCUUUGAAAGAGGGUAAUGAAAGCAAGGCAUUCUAGAAGUCUUUGCAUUAAUACACCGAGUCUCUACUGUCACUGCCUAGUGUGAUGCCUGGCAGAGAAAGGGAUUCCAAGAAGGGUUUGUGUUUUUAUGUGAGGUACCUGCUAGAACGAGGUGGGCAUGUGGCAAAAGUGAAGAGGAUAUAUUCUCUGCCCUCGAUGAGUCUUGGGACAAUAAUCUCUGGAGAAAACCCAGGCAAACUGGGGCCGGGGUUGGAGAGAGGGCAGUAUGUACCAGAAAAGAGCAAUUUCAACUGCGCAGAGUAUAGCACAGGUCCUAAAGGGAUGGCUGAUGAAUAGGUUUCUAAUUUGACUAGGUUGGAAUCUUGUGUUGACAAUUAGCAGCAUCUAUUUGCAUACAAUUAGUAGGCAGAGCCCUUCAAAAGAGUUUGUUCCCUAAAGUAGGUUAACUAUAUCCCCUUGCAAUGGUGCCUGCAGGAUUGAUUUGUUUCACAAAUCCAUGAUCCCAGAGAAACUCAGGAUGGACUUCGUCCCGGUCUAGGUCCAAAGGACAACACUUGGAUUCUAUUGGUCCCGUGUGAUCAGAACGAGAGCUGAACAUCCCAAAGGCCCUCACUGAGGAGUUCUGAAUUGAAGUGAAUGGUCAACUCAGUUGGUAUUUGGUCAGUUUCACCUCCACCAACACUACCACCAUCAACAGCAACUCCCGGGCCAGCGGGGAGUCUCCGAGAAAACAAAACAUCAGGGAACUGAGUCAUCUGUCAUGAGAAUCACGUGUCUUUGCUGGCCACGCAUCCCAGGAUGCAGGGUUCAGGUUACCCUUGGGUUGCUGGCUCCUCCUGCAAUUCCAGAAUUAUUCCAGAAGCCCAAGCAAGUACCUCCGAAGCACUGCCUUAUUCACUCGCUCACUCACUCAUGCAAUUAAUGUUUAUUGACUGCUGAGCUGUCUGUUUGGGAAUGAGGGAUACAUUGGUGCCCAAAUGUUUGUCUGCAACCAAAACAAACACACAGCCUAUGGAGCUCAUUGUCUGCGGGGGAAAAUAGCAAUUGAAAAAUAAACACAGAAAUAAAUGUCAAAUCACAGCUCAGUGCAUUGCUAUUGAGAGGAAGUGUGUAGAAUUCUAUGAACUUACAGGAGGACUGAACACAAUCAGGGAAGGCUUCCUGGAGGGAGUGAUGAUUAAGUUAAAAUACAAAGAAUAAGUAGAGGCAAAGAAGGGGAGGUAUCAGCAUG